CUCCAACGAGCGCAACCCUGAUCUAGCCAUGCCGCGUGAGUGAUGAAGGCCUUAGGGUUGUAAAGCUCUUUCAGCUGUGAAGAUAAUGACGGUAGCAGCAGAAGAAGUCCCGGCUAACUCCGUGCCAGCAGCCGCGGUAAUACGGAGGGGACUAGCGUUGUUCGGAAUUACUGGGCGUAAAGCGCACGUAGGCGGAUCGGAAAGUUGGGGGUGAAAUCCCGGGGCUCAACCCCGGAACUGCCUUCAAAACUAUCGGUCUGGAGUUCGAGAGAGGUGAGUGGAAUUCCGAGUGUAGAGGUGAAAUUCGUAGAUAUUCGGAGGAACACCAGUGGCGAAGGCGGCUCACUGGCUCGAUACUGACGCUGAGGUGCGAAAGCGUGGGGAG
rnacentral:rRNA from 1 species